AUUACGGGGUGCAGCAGGCGCGAAACCUCCGCAAUACACGAAAGUGUGAUGGGGUUAUCCCGAGUGUCGUCCGAUGAGGAUGACUUUUCCUUGGUGUAGGAAUCCAGGGGAAUAAAGGGGGGGCAAGACUGGUGUCAGCCGCCGCGGUAAUACCAGCCCCCUGAGUGGUAGGGACGAUUAUUUAGCCUAAAGCGUUCGUAGCCGGCUUAACAAGUCUCUCGUUAAAUUCAACGACUUAAUCGUUGAACUGCGAGAGAUACUAUUAUGCUAGAGGACGGGAGAGGUCGACGGUAUUCCCAGGGUAGGGGUGAAAUCCUAUAAUCCUGGGAGGACCACCAGUGGCGAAGGCGGUCGACUAGAACGUGCCUGACGGUGAUGGACGAAAGCUAGGGGAGCGAACCGGAUUAGAUACCCGGGUAGUCCUAGCUGUAAACGAUGCGGGCUAGGUGUUGGGGUAGCCACGUGCUACUCCAGUGCCGCAGAGAAGUUGUUAAGCCCGCCGCUUGGGAAGUACGAUCGCAAGAUUGAAACUUAAAGGAAUUGGCGGGGGAGCACAAU
rnacentral:rRNA from 1 species